rnacentral:rRNA from 1 species
UAGGGAAUCUUCCGCAAUGGACGAAAGUCUGACGGAGCAACGCCGCGUGAGUGAAGAAGGAUUUCGGCUCGUAAAACUCUGUUGUUAGGGAAGAAAAAAUGUAUAGUAACUAUAUACAAAAGAGACGGUACCUAACCAGAAAGCCACGGCUAACUACGUGCCAGCAGCCGCGGUAAUACGUAGGUGGCAAGCGUUGUCCGGAAUUAUUGGGCGUAAAGCGCGCGCAGGUGGUUUAGAAAGUCUGAUGUGAAAGCCCACGGCUCAACCGUGGAGGGUCAUUGGAAACUAAUAAACUUGAGUGCAGGAGAGAAAAGUGGAAUUCCUAGUGUAGCGGUGAAAUGCGUAGAGAUUAGGAGGAACACCGGUGGCGAAAGCGGCUUUUUGGCCUGCAACUGACACUGAGGCGCGAAAGCGUGGGGAGCAAACAGG